rnacentral:rRNA from 1 species
UUAUUGAGUGGCAUCACUUAAUAAUUAAAGUCACAACGGUGAAAGAUGAGCAUGCGUCCCAUUAGCUAGUUGGUAAGGUAACGGCUUACCAAGGCAACGAUGGGUAGGGGUCCUGAGAGGGAGAUCCCCCACACUGGUACUGAGACACGGACCAGACUCCUACGGGAGGCAGCAGUGAGGAAUAUUGGACAAUGGGCGCAAGCCUGAUNNAGCCAUGCCGCGUGCAGGAUGACGGUCCUAUGGAUUGUAAACUGCUUUUGUACGANNNGAAACACUGCUUCGUGAAGCAGCUUGACGGUAUCGUNNGAAUAAGGAUCGGCUAACUCCGUGCCAGCAGCCGCGGUAAUACGGAGGAUCCAAGCGUUNNCCGGAAUCAUUGGGUUUAAAGGGUCCGUAGGCGGUUUAGUAAGUCNGUGGUGAAAGCCCAUCGCUCAACGGUGGAACGGCCAUUGAUACUGCUGAACUUGAAUUAUUAGGAAGUANNUAGAAUAUGUAGUGUAGCGGUGAAAUGCUUAGAGAUUACAUGGAAUACCAANNNCGAAGGCAGGUUACUACUAAUUGAUUGACGCUGAUGGACUAAAGCGUGGGGAGCGAACAGGAUUAGAUACCCUGGUAGUCCACGCCGUAAACGAUGG